CAGCCGCCGCGGUAAUACGUAGGGUGCGAGCGUUAAUCGGAUUUACUGGGCGUAAAGCGUGCGCAGGCGGCCCGUUAAGACAGGUGUGAAAUCCCUGGGCUCAACCUAGGAAUUGCGCUUGUGACUGGCGGGCUCGAGUACGGUAGAGGGGGGUGGAAUUCCUGGUGUAGCAGUGAAAUGCGUAGAGAUCAGGAGGAACACCGAUGGCGACGGCAGCCCCCUGGGCCUGUACUGACGCUCAUGCACGAAAGCGUGGGGAGCAAACAGGAUUAGAUUCCCUGGUAGUCCACGCCCUAAGCGAUGGGUACUAGCCGUUUGGUGCGCGAGAGCGCUGAGUGGCGAAGCUAACGCGUGAAGUACCCCGCCUGGGGAGUACGGCCGCAAGGUUGAAACUUAAAGGAAUUGGCGGG
rnacentral:rRNA from 1 species